UGUGAGGCAUGCUGGAGGUAUCAGAAGUGCGAAUGCUGACAUAAGUAACGAUAAAGCGGGUGAAAAGCCCGCUCGCCGGAAGACCAAGGGUUCCUGUCCAACGUUAAUCGGGGCAGGGUGAGUCGACCCCUAAGGCGAGGCCGAAAGGCGUAGUCGAUGGGAAACAGGUUAAUAUUCCUGUACUUGGUGUUACUGCGAAGGGGGGACGGAGAAGGCUAUGUUGGCCGGGCGACGGUUGUCCCGGUUUAAGCGUGUAGGCUGGUUUUCCAGGCAAAUCCGGAAAAUCAAGGCUGAGGCGUGAUGACGAGGCACUACGGUGCUGAAGCAACAAAUGCCCUGCUUCCAGGAAAAGCCUCUAAGCAUCAGGUAACAUCAAAUCGUACCCCAAACCGACACAGGUGGUCAGGUAGAGAAUACCAAGGCGCUUGAGAGAACUCGGGUGAAGGAACUAGGCAAAAUGGUGCCGUAACUUCGGGAGAAGGCACGCUGAUAUGUAGGUGAAGUCCCUCGCGGAUGGAGCUGAAAUCAGUCGAAGAUACCAGCUGGCUGCAACUGUUUAUUAAAAACACAGCACUGUGCAAACACGAAAGUGGACGUAUACGGUGUGACGCCUGCCCGGUGCCGGAAGGUUAAUUGAUGGGGUUAGCGCAAGCGAAGCUCUUGAUCGAAGCCCCGGUAAACGGCGGCCGUAACUAUAACGGUCCUAAGGUAGCGAAAUUCCUUGUCGGGUAAGUUCCGACCUGCACGAAUGGCGUAAUGAUGGCCAGGCUGUCUCCACCCGAGACUCAGUGAAAUUGAACUCGCUGUGAAGAUGCAGUGUACCCGCGGCAAGACGGAAAGACCCCGUGAACCUUUACUAUAGCUUGACACUGAACAUUGAGCCUUGAUGUGUAGGAUAGGUGGGAGGCUUUGAAGUGUGGACGCCAGUCUGCAUGGAGCCGACCUUGAAAUACCACCCUUUAAUGUUUGAUGUUCUAACGUGGACCCGUAAUCCGGGUUGCGGACAGUGUCUGGUGGGUAGUUUGACUGGGGCGGUCUCCUCCUAAAGAGUAACGGAGGAGCACGAAGGUUGGCUAAUCCUGGUCGGACAUCAGGAGGUUAGUGCAAUGGCAUAAGCCAGCUUGACUGCGAGCGUGACGGCGCGAGCAGGUGCGAAAGCAGGUCAUAGUGAUCC
rnacentral:rRNA from 1 species